rnacentral:lncRNA from 1 species
UGUUAGAAUAUGAACAGAUCAAACUAAAUUAAUUUAAACUACCUCUGGAUGAUAACAUGAAAUCGCCGUGAUGUCACCGGCUUGUGUUUGAGGUGAGGCGCCAGCGUGGCUUGACGAACCGAGACUCGGGAUCGUUCUCAGGAACAGCAGUCAAUGAAUAUCGUUCCACGUUUGCAGUUGGCUGAUUCUUGAUAAUCUUUAUGGUCAUCACGAGGUAUGAGAUGUUAACCAUUCAAUCACUUUGUUAACCGUGCAAAGAGGAUGGCGGCAUGCUUUACAACCAG